UGAGCCAAUGAUGAGAGUAUGCCAUGAACCAAGGAAUAUGAUUAAUUUCAUUGCCCAUCUGUGGUCCAAA
rnacentral:snoRNA from 1 species